UCAGUACCAAUUUGUUCCUUUAAUCACGUCUACUUUCCUUGAUUGCCUCUGAUUGAUUCCUUGAAUCUUGUAUGCCAAUCCAUAAAUUCUGUGAUCAUUGCUAAUUGAUUUCUUCAAUCAUGAAUGAUAUCCAUGAGUCCUUUUACAAAGAGAAAAUAUAUUAUUUUUCAUCAUUAAAAUCAAAUCUAACAAUCUCUUCCUUUUUGAUGGUGAUAAAGUACUAUAUAUUUAUAAACAACAGUUGACCUUCUUGUAUUUUAACCCCCCCAAUAAGAGUAGUGGACUGUCUGGUGCUAGUUUGUUUGAGGCGCAUGUAGUUGACUGCUUCAGGUUCUGUGACUCCCCCUCCAGGAGUGCCAAAGCUGACUAACUCAUACUCGAC
rnacentral:lncRNA from 1 species